rnacentral:rRNA from 1 species
AUACGUAGGUGGCGAGCGUUGUCCGGAUUUACUGGGUGUAAAGGGCGCGUAGGCGGGACUGCAAGUCAGGUGUGAAAUCUGGUGGCUCAACCACCAAACUGCACUUGAAACUGUGGUUCUUGAGUGAUGGAGAGGCAAGUGGAAUUCCUAGUGUAGCGGUGAAAUGCGUAGAUAUUAGGAGGAACACCAGUGGCGAAGGCGACUUGCUGGACAUUAACUGACGCUGAGGCGCGAAAGCGUGGGGAGC